AUCCAGUUGACGAGUUCCGAAAGGGACGAAAUGCGCAUCCUAGAU
rnacentral:hammerhead_ribozyme from 1 species